rnacentral:rRNA from 1 species
CGCCUCUUGCCCCACAAGUAUAAGAGGUCCAGCCUGCCCAGUGACUUCAUGUUCAACGGCCGCGGUAUUCUGACCGUGCAAAGGUAGCGUAAUCACUUGCCCUUUAAAUAAGGACCAGUAUGAAUGGCCUCACGAGGGGUCGACUGUCUCCCAUGUCCGAUCAGUGAAAUUGAUUUCCCAGUGCAGAAGCUGAGAUAACAACAUAAGACGAGAAGACCCCAUGGAACUUAAAACACAUUAACACCUGCUUCAUAAUAUAACCCUUCUGGCACAAUUCAAUUAAGCCACCAUUGAUUAUUUGUUUUUGGUUGGGGCGACCACGGAGAAAAACAAAACCUCCGAGCCGAAUGGAAUACUUCUCCUAACUAAGAGCCACCCCUCUAAGUAUUAGAACCUCUAACGGUAUUUGAUCCAGCUUUACUGAUCAACGAACCAAGCUACCCUGGGGAUAACAGCGCAAUCUACUCUAAGAGUCCCUAUCGACGAGCAGGUUUACGACCUCGAUGUUGGAUCAGGACACCCCAAUGGUGCAGCCGCUAUUAAAGGUCGUUUGUUCAACGAUUAAAGUCCU